CGCGAGGAGCGGCACGCCAACGUGCGCCGUUUGAACUGGUUAAGAUAUAACUUAGCGCAAUCGGUACGUGUUUUUUGAGGAAGACAGCUGUUGGUAACCAUGAAGGAAUACCUGUUGACAGUGGCAUCUGUGAUUGGAUCUUUGGCUGUGGUUCUUGCAUUUGUUGCUCUUGGCUGGUACAUCGUCUGGAAGUGUUUCCUGUCGCGCUUCAAGUUCGUUCGCGAGAUGCUGGACGCCGGCCGAGAGCCCUCACCGGAGGCGGCCGAGCUGCGCCGGGUUCGGCAACGGACCAGCCGGCGACUGCGCCGCGAGUGACGCCGACCAUGCUGCCAUCUGGCCGCCGAGCCGUCAACCUAGGAUGACAUUGGCGGCCGCCGAAAGCCCGGCGGUCGCCGCGCCCACGACUUGUGGACCCUGCGCGGACUGCU